CAGCAGCCGCGGGAAUACGUAGGUGGCAAGCGUUGUCCGGAAUUAUUGGGCGUAAGGGGCUCGCAGGCGGUUUCUUAAGUCUGAUGUGAAAGCCCCCGGCUCAACCGGGGAGGGUCAUUGGAAACUGGGAAACUUGAGUGCAGAAGAGGAGAGUGGAAUUCCACGUGUAGCGGUGAAAUGCGUAGAGAUGUGGAGGAACACCAGUGGCGAAGGCGACUCUCUGGUCUGUAACUGACGCUGAGGAGCGAAAGCGUGGGGAGCGAACAGGAUUAGAUACCCCGGUAGUCCCUGUCUCUUAUAA
rnacentral:rRNA from 1 species